rnacentral:rRNA from 1 species
CCUACGGGGGGCAGCAGUGAGGAAUAUUGGUCAAUGGACGAGAGUCUGAACCAGCCAAGUAGCGUGAAGGAUGACUGCCCUAUGGGUUGUAAACUUCUUUUAUAUGGGAAUAAAACGUUCCACGUGUGGGAUUUUGUAUGUACCAUAUGAAUAAGGAUCGGCUAACUCCGUGCCAGCAGCCGCGGUAAUACGGAGGAUCCGAGCGUUAUCCGGAUUUAUUGGGGUUAAAGGGAGCGUAGGUGGAUUGUUAAGGCAGUUGUGAAAGUUUGUGGCUCAACCGUAAAAGUGCAGUUGAAACUGGCAGUCUUGAGUACAGUAGAGGUGGGCGGAAUUCGUGGUGUAGCGGUGAAAUGCUUAGAUAUCACGAAGAACUCCGAUUGCGAAGGCAGUUCACUGGACUGCAACUGACACUGAGGCUCGAAAGUGUGGGUAUCAAACAGGAUUAGAUACCCGAGUAGUC